rnacentral:rRNA from 1 species
CGACUCCAUGAAGCUGGAUUCGCUAGUAAUCGCGCAUCAGCCACGGCGCGGUGAAUACGUUCCCGGGCCUUGUACACACCGCCCGUCAAGCCAUGGGAGUCGGGAGUGCCUGAAGUGCGUGAGCGCGAGCAGCGCCCUAGGGCAAAACCGAUGACUGGGGCUAAGUCGUAACAAGGUAGC